GGGUAAAAUCGAAGGUAUAGUCGUUUGUAAGCCGAACGACAGAGACUUAUUGCGGAAUUUUGAGUCAGCGCUGAGGUUUGGUAAGCCGAUUCUUCUGGAAAAUGUCGGACAAGAAUUGGAUCCAGCGCUAGAUCCUGUAUUAAAGCGGCAAUAUUUCCGUCAAGCGGGUCAGUUGGUUUUAAAACUCGGCGACUCGUUGAUACCGUACACGGCCGGCUUCCGCCUCUACAUAACCACUAAGAUACCGAAUCCUAAAUACACUCCCGAGGUCUCAGUUAAAGUGCAGAUUGUAAACUUUGCACUUGUACCGAG
rnacentral:misc_RNA from 1 species